UACGUAGGUGGCAAGCGUUGUCCGGAAUUACUGGGUGUAAAGCGCGUGUAGGCGGCAGACCAAGUCGGCGGUGAAAGCGCCCGGCUCAACUGGGCGAGGUCCGUGGAAACUGGUCAGCUGGAGGACGGUAGAGGCGAGUGGAAUUCCCGGUGUAGUGGUGAAAUGCGUAGAGAUCGGGAGGAACACCUGUGGCGAAGGCGGCUCGCUGGGCCGGUCCUGACGCUGAGACGCGAAGGCGUGGGGAGCAAACGGG
rnacentral:rRNA from 1 species